AUUGAACGCUGGCGGCAGGCCUAACACAUGCAAGUCGAGCGGAUGAUGGGAGCUUGCUCCUUGAUUCAGCGGCGGACGGGUGAGUAAUGCCUAGGAAUCUGCCUGGUAGUGGGGGACAACGUUUCGAAAGGAACGCUAAUACCGCAUACGUCCUACGGGAGAAAGCAGGGGACCUUCGGGCCUUGCGCUAUCAGAUGAGCCUAGGUCGGAUUAGCUAGUUGGUGGGGUAAUGGCUCACCAAGGCGACGAUCCGUAACUGGUCUGAGAGGAUGAUCAGUCACACUGGAACUGAGACACGGUCCAGACUCCUACGGGAGGCAGCAGUGGGGAAUAUUGGACAAUGGGCGAAAGCCUGAUCCAGCCAUGCCGCGUGUGUGAAGAAGGUCUUCGGAUUGUAAAGCACUUUAAGUUGGGAGGAAGGGCAGUAAGUUAAUACCUUGUUGUUUUGACAUUACCGACAGAAUAAGCACCGGCUAACUCUGUGCCAGCAGCCGCGGUAAUACAGAGGGUGCAAGCGUUAAUCGGAAUUACUGGGCGUAAAGCGCGCGUAGGUGGUUCGUUAAGUUGGAUGUGAAAGCCCCGGGCUCAACCUGGGAACUGCAUCCAAAACUGGCGAGCUAGAGUACGGUAGAGGGUGGUGGAAUUUCCUGUGUAGCGGUGAAAUGCGUAGAUAUAGGAAGGAACACCAGUGGCGAAGGCGACCACCUGGACUGAUACUGACACUGAGGUGCGAAAGCGUGGGGAGCAAACAGGAUUAGAUACCCUGGUAGUCCACGCCGUAAACGAUGUCAACUAGCCGUUGGAAUCCUUGAGAUUUUAGUGGCGCAGCUAACGCAUUAAGUUGACCCCCUGGGGAGUACGGCCGCAAGGUUAAAACUCAAAGGAA
rnacentral:rRNA from 1 species